GUGCUUGAUGUAUUUAAAAGUAGUUUUAGUAGUAUAAUGCUUCUUGUAAAUAGCUUUUAAAAACUGAUGGGAAAUACUGUUUUUGGAAAAUGGAAUUGUUAAACCUCCUCUCUGAACAGUAUACUCUGUGCUUGUUCAUUUGGUUUAGGGAGGUGGGAGGGAAGAUUGCAAAAGAUGUUUUGCUAGCAGGUACUAGAACAUUUCAACUUAUCCAUUGCUCUAUAUGUUACAUGCAUUUUGUUUAACUUUACUGUAUAUAUUUUGUAUAUACUGGACCAAUGGGUCCCAAUUUUAUAAUAUCUAGUCUCUAGACAUUAAAGAGGUUGCCAAUGUAUGACAAAAAUAGAGUUAGUAAACUAACACAUUUAGGACACUUUGUGUUAAAAUUCAUUGAAAGGCCGUCUUCUGAAAAGGGCCUUUGGAAGUGAAAUUGUAAAUCACAUCUAAGUGACACCUGUGCCUGUACUUGCCCAGUGUUGGAUGGAUGGCAGAAAGGAGGUACUGGGAGAAAUGAAGUGUUCUAGAUUAGAAUGUUCCUAUGUAGAACACAUUUUCAGAUCUAACCAUUGUUACAUGUGUGUAGUUUAUUCAACACUACUGUGUAUAUAGUGGACAAACUUAAGCCAUUAUUUGAAACAUCUAGUGUUUCUAGAUGUUUAGAAGUGCACAAAGUAUGUUAAAAGUAGAGGCAGAAAGGAGAG